rnacentral:rRNA from 1 species
AGCAGUAGCCGCGGUAAUACGAAGGGGGCUAGCGUUGUUCGGAUUUACUGGGCGUAAAGCGCACGUAGGCGGACUUUUAAGUCAGGGGUGAAAUCCCGGGGCUCAACCCCGGAACUGCCUUUGAUACUGGAAGUCUUGAGUAUGGUAGAGGUGAGUGGAAUUCCGAGUGUAGAGGUGAAAUUCGUAGAUAUUCGGAGGAACACCAGUGGCGAAGGCGGCUCACUGGACCAUUACUGACGCUGAGGUGCGAAAGCGCGGGGAGCAAACAGGAUUAGAUACCCCUGUAGUCCCUGUCUCUUAUAC